UUUUAUAUAUUUGUGUGGGAUGGAGAAUAAUUUCAUGGAGAACUAUCAGAGUUCUGAUAAUUUUUAAAGAAAUGGGUCUGACAUUAAUUUUACUGUAUAUUUAAGCAUCAAAUUAAAGACAUGUGUUUUCAAGGUAGAUUUAUGUGCUAGGAACUCAAAAUUAAUGAUAUACCUAAGGCUCUACAUUCUCUGCACAGAUUUCCCAAACCUGGUGUUAUUAACAAG
rnacentral:lncRNA from 1 species